UAGUAUCAUCGCCAGGCUGGUGCCAUUUAGCGGUAUAGAUGGCUGAAAAGGGAAUCUGGUGCGAAUCCAGAACUGACGCGCAGCGGUAAAAGAGAACGAACCUCCAUAGGACACUGUUUUUGUGGCGAAAACGGGAAGUCGGAGUAGUAGGUGGUGAAAGCCUAGCUCUUGAGUCCGAAGACCUGCCAGCGGCCUGGUCGGCAU
rnacentral:ncRNA from 2 species